GUGCGCAGGCGCGCCGUCGCCCGGCCGGUAGCUGCGGAGGCCCUCUACUGAUCCCGAGGCCUUGUGGGCGUCGCAGCCCCGGCCCUCUGUGGGGCGCGACGGAGGCGUGCAGGGGAAGUUAGCUUGAGCCUGUCUCGGCAGCCGUGCACGAGAAAAAAAGGACCUUCGAGAAGAACAAGGGAGGGCAAGAGUUACCAAGCACAGGGUCAUCUGUGUGGCCGCUCUGCUUUCCCGCCGUCACCUGCUGUUGACCUCCGGCCGCAGCGCUCUGUCCGGAGCCGCCGGGCCUGGAGUGUGCGCUGAGCGUCACCUAGGCAACCACCCUUGUACCUCUGGAUCAGAGUCUCGCUCUGUUGCCAAGGGUGGAAUGCAGUGGCGGAAUCAUAGCUCAGUACAGACUUGACAUCCUGAACUCAAGGGGAUCCUCCUGUCUCAGCCUCCCGAGUAGCUGGGACCACUGGCGCGCGACAAAAAAUUUAAAAGUGGGAGGAGGGGAACAGAACCACAUCAAAUGGCAGAUAUCAUAGAAUGAGAACUGAAUAUACGCGUUUUGUGGGAAACUCGUUCUUUUCCCCUUUCUCUAAGAUUCGCUUUUAAUUCACUAGCCACUGACGAGUUACCUAUCUCAUUACAGAAAUAAAAAACAAAACGUAGUAGUGCCUUUUUAAAUAUGAGUUACUUGUUAUUUAUGUCACUUUCUUCCAUGCUAUCGUUGAACUGUUUUUGAUGUAGCACGACCUUAAAAGCAGAGCUUUUAUACCACAAGGUCUUUCAACCCUUGUGAAAUUUAACCACCCAUUGACACUCACCUCUUUAGAGAACUGGACAUUUUUUCUUAAAAUAUGCUUCCAAAAGUUGUUGAGAUACAGUAAACAGAAAGAAAUCUAAGAAAUGCUGAUUAUUUUUAGUCACCAGCAUUUAUUAAGUGCUUUGCGACGAGGAAGUGUCUGAGAAAAUAUUCGUGUAUUUUUCUUAAACAACCUAGGCUUGCACAGGAUCACAAAGAAAAAUCUUAAGUUCAAGGUCCACUGGAGAAGAAAGAAAAUAAAAAUGGCUACAAUUGGUGUUGUGUAUUAAAUAAAAUUUAAGGUACAAAGAAAGACGCAGUCAGUUCUAACCAGCGAGAUCACUUUCCUCUCCCACUCCUGCAUACUGCAGUCUUCUUUAAGAAGAUAAAUCCUUAACCGUUUGUUUUUCCUGCUGGUCACACAGACAAAAUACUAGUAAGUACUUUGGAUUUCUUCACCAUCCACAACCAAGUAACAGCCCAACCUGUCUGUUCUUUUUUCGCCAUCCUUCCUAAAUUCUCCAUGUUUUUCUUCCGGACCAUGCCAUCUCCUUGAAACUCACUUCCUAGCCUCCAGUUAUUCCUUCCUCCAGUCUAUUCUCAUGAACACCAAACUUGGUUUCCCAAAGCACAGGUGAGCUUAAGUUGGUCACCUGCUCAAAAACAUCCAGUAACUUCCCAGUGUUUAGAACACUGUCUUCAAACUUUCUCCAGAUUCUUUCUCAUCAUACACCCUAACAAUCCCGCUUCCUUUUUACAUUCACACUGACUAUGCACCAAGAGGAAUGUAAAGAAGCAGUAUAUGUUCUGGUUGACGGAAGGCAUGUACCAUACAAAGUUAAGAAAGAAACCAAUCCGAGGAUGUAUGAAUAACAGUAUAAGAUAAUAGGAAAGAUGGCACAGGCAACAUAGCUUGGUCAAGCAGGUGGAAUAACAGGCACAAUCUUUUGGGAGAAGUGAGGAACACUAAUGCUCUGUCUAAUAAAGUAAUUCCUUACAGUUCUAUGGUAA